UACGUAGGGGGCGAGCGUUGUCCGGAUUUAUUGGGCGUAAAGAGCGUGUAGGCGGCUUGGUAGGUCUCGCGUCAAAACCUGAGGCUCAACCUCAGUUCGCGUGGGAAACCACCUAGCUAGAGUCCGGAAGAGGAGUGUGGAAUUCCUGGUGUAGCGGUGAAAUGCGCAGAUAUCAGGAGGAACACCAAUGGCGAAGGCAGCACUCUGGGACGUGACUGACGCUGAGACGCGAAAGCGUGGGGAGCAAACAGG
rnacentral:rRNA from 1 species